CUUACACAUGCAGUCGAGCGGGGAGAGGUGCUUCGGUACUGAUCCUAGCGGCGGACGGGUGAGUAAAGCUUAGGAAUCUGCCAUUUAGUGGGGGACAACAUUCCGAAAGGGAUGCUAAUACCGCAUACGCCCUACGGGGGAAAGCAGGGGAUCUUCGGACCUUGCGCUAAAUGAUGAGCCUAAGUCGGAUUAGCUAGUUGGUGGGGUAAAGGCCUACCAAGGCGACGAUCUGUAGCGGGUCUGAGAGGAUGAUCCGCCACACUGGGACUGAGACACGGCCCAGACUCCUACGGGAGGCAGCAGUGGGGAAUAUUGGACAAUGGGCGAAAGCCUGAUCCAGCCAUGCCGCGUGUGUGAAGAAGGCCUUUUGGUUGUAAAGCACUUUAAGCGAGGAGGAGGCUACCUGGAUUAAUACUCUAGAACAGUGGACGUUACUCACAGAAUAAGCACCGGCUAACUCUGUGCCAGCAGCCGCGGUAAUACAGAGGGUGCGAGCGUUAAUCGGAUUUACUGGGCGUAAAGCGUGCGUAGGCGGCUGAUUAAGUCGGAUGUGAAAUCCCUGAGCUUAACUUAGGAAUUGCAUUCGAUACUGGUCAGCUAGAGUAUGGGAGAGGAUGGUAGAAUUCCAGGUGUGGCGGUGAAAUGCGUAGAGAUCUGGAGGAAUACCGAUGGCGAAAGCAGCCAUCUGGCCUAAUACUGACGCUGAGGUACGAAAGCAUGGGGAGCAAACAGGAUUAGAUACCCUGGUAGUCCAUGCCGUAAACGAUGUCUACUAGCCGUUGGGGCCUUUGAAGGCUUAGUGCGCAGCUAACGCGAU
rnacentral:rRNA from 1 species